GCGGAGGAAAAGAAACUAACAAGGAUUCCCCUAGUAACGGCGAGCGAAGCGGGAAGAGCUCAAAUUUGAAAGCUGGCACCUCCGGUGUCCGCGUUGUAAUCUCGAGACGUGUUUUCCGUGCGGCUCUAUGGACAAGUCCCUUGGAACAGGGCAUCGUAGAGGGUGAAAAUCCCGUACUUGCCAUGGAUGUACCGUGCUUUGUGAUACACGCUCUAAGAGUCGAGUUGUUUGGGAUUGCAGCUCAAAAUGGGUGGUAGACUCCAUCUAAAGCUAAAUAUCGGGGAGAGACCGAUAGCGAACAAGUACCGUGAGGGAAAGAUGAAAAGCACUUUGGAAAGAGAGUUAAAAGUACGUGAAAUUGUCGAAAGGGGAGCGCUUGAAGUCAGCCAUGCUGCGCGGACUCAGCCCGGCUGAUGCCUGGNGUAUUUCCCAGCAG
rnacentral:rRNA from 1 species